CACCUGUGAUGAGGUGGCUACUUGUCCAGGGUGUACCCCGCCUUCCGCCCGAUCGCAGCUGAGAUAGGCGCCAGUGCCACCCGCGACCCCAAAAGGGAAUAAGCGGUCUCCCAUUUGAGGUCGCGGGGGGUUGAACAAAUCCUCCUAAAAGACAGCAAAUAUUACAAAACGAGCUCGUUUGAGAUGACACCGUUUCAAAAUGGACGUCAUGACAACGUCAGAUAUCAGGGAACUAGCUUGAGGCACAGAGAAGGUUCUGGUCCAACAUAUCUUGAUUAAAAAAAAAGCCACCAUCCACGUGACGCACGAUUUGAGGCCCGGCUGGGAUCGGACGCUCGGUUUGGAUCUGUGGCCAAUCUUUCUCCUAACAGCGCCAAGCGACAAAAUGACUCACAUUUCCGGAUUAAAUCUGCUCAAUACUGUGGUCCUCCAAACAUACCUGCUGGUUCUGGUACGCCGUGACAGUGGUGAAGACGGUCUCGACGAAGGAGAAGGUGUGUGUUCCUUCCCCGGCAGGGACGGCCUUCACCGGGGACAACUCCUCUCCACACUCCUUACGGAUCACGUGGACCCGGGGCUGGUAUUUGUGCAUGGAGUGCAGAAUGAUCUGGUGUGAGGAGCGCAAUGUUAGCACUUUGCGCAUGUGCAUGUUUUAAUUGGUAGGAACUCAGAUGUUUAUUUCUUUAGGAAAAAAAAUCAUAUUAGGUGUGAAUCCGUGCAGGAUAGACUUAUAUUUUUUCCACAUUUUUUCUACAUUAACCUUCAUUUAGAAAAUAGGUAACAGGAAAUACGCACAAAGCUUUUAAACAAACGGGGGGUGUGGUGUGCAUCAGCCAAGGAAUAACCUUUUUUUUUAAUUCACAGUAAAAUUCAUUUUUGUUAAACUCGGGCUAAUUAGUAGAAAUAAAUCUGUGAAUUUUCAACGGUUUUAUGUAAUUAAAUGGACACAUGCACGCAAUGAAAAAGAUAUAUUAAUGAUGAAGAUAAUACAAUAAUACAUUACAUGUCCCUGGUCGUCCAGCUCGUUAUUGGUCAGCUUGAGUUUGUCGAAGCUGACCACCUGACGCAUCCACGUCUCGCCCGAGGCAGGCGAGUCCGGAUGGAUGUAGACCCUGGGCGGCACCGGAGAGUCUGCGUUGCCCGCCACCAUCCACUUGGAGCUGUGGUACACGUACCUGCACGGACAGAACAUCGAAACAACGUUUGGCAGGACUCCUUAUUUGUGUUGUUUUACUUACUGGAUCCGUCACUGGCACAUUCCUCGCUGCAACGCCCGCUGGCGCGCGCUCUGCCGGCGCAAGGUUUCGGGCUCCCGGGCACACGAGGGACAUCACUUCCGUGGUCGUAGCCGGCGGAGGUAACGUCCUCCCCGGCCGUCCUGCGCCUCUUCUCCGCCCCGAUGAGUGCCUCCACCGAGAAGGCGUGCGCCUUGACGCUGAGUGCGCACGACGAGCGACGCUUCUCAGCCAUGGCUCCGUCCCGGUUCCUUGGAAGUGUUGACGGGAGUCACGCAGGAGACUCGUCCCAAAGACGAGGUAUUCUCUUGUCCUCCUGAAUGGCUGUAAGGGAAGCAGGCUGACGCCUCCGUGAUCCACUAGCAACACUUUUUGGAAGGGGUGUCAACAACAAGAGGAGACCCGGAGAGGAAAGGGGAGGGACAAAAAUGAGGAUGUGUCAAUCAAAAGUGAGCGCAGCCAAUCAGAAGUCAUCACAGCGCCCCCCUCCGGAAGGGGUUCCCUCCGUGGCCCCGCCCCCUUGCGCUGCCCAAUGUGGUCAACAAGUGGAGCAACAUGAUGAUGAAGAUGAUGAUGAGUGGAUCAAACCCUUUAUUUAGUGGCCUUUUUCACGCAUUGUGGCGUGCACGCUUCAUGCACGGCUUGUCGUGAAUUUGAGCUUAUGGACCUCCCAAAUGAUGAGUUAUGAGCAACAACAUAAACAUUUAAUUAAGGUAAAAAUCCUCCAAUUAUAAAGAAUGUUGCAGCUGCAAAUAGUAAAUAAGAACAGGUUAAUAUGAUAUAAAGUGAUCUAUAAACCUGUA